AGUAGGAUAGCUAGGUCAUAUGGUGGUUCCAUUCCCAGUUUUUUGAGGAACUCCCAUACUGCUUUCUAGAGUGGUUGUACUAAUUUGCAGUCCCACCAACAAU
rnacentral:pre_miRNA from 1 species